UUGGUGGGGUGAUGGCCUACCAAGGCGACGACGGGUAGCCGGCCUGAGAGGGUGUCCUGCCACACUGGGACUGAGAUACGGCCCAGACUCCUACGGGAGGCAGCAGUGGGGAAUAUUGCACAAUGGGCGCAAGCCUGAUGCAGCGACGCCGCGUGGGGGAUGACGGCCUUCGGGUUGUAAACCUCUUCCACCAUCGGCGAAGCCGGGGGCUUUUGUUUUCGGUGACGGUAGGUGGAGAAGAAGCACCGGCCAACUACGUGC
rnacentral:rRNA from 1 species